AUGUUUAACCAAUCUGAAUUUGUUAACAGGACUGAGAAAGACAUCACUUCGGGUGCUACCCGUCUCCCCCGUAAGACUCACAUGGGUUUGAGGAAGGUUGCUUGUAUUGGUGCAUGGCAUCCUGCUGGAGUGACAAAAGGUAAGGGUCAUGAAGGUGUUGUUUCUCGUUGGGGUGUUACCCGUCUCCCCCGUAAGACUCACAUAGGUUCGAGGAAGGUUGCUUGUAUUGGUGCAUGGCACCUGCCAGAGUGA